rnacentral:tRNA from 1 species
GCCUGAGUGGUGGAACUGGCAUACACGUUGGACUCAAAAUCCAAUGCCUUCACGGGCUUGUGGGUUCGAAUCCCACCUCAGGUAUCA